ACCUCCGUCCUGCUGCUCUCG
rnacentral:sRNA from 1 species